rnacentral:misc_RNA from 1 species
GGUGAGAGGGCUCUUGCCCAUAUAAUUGAAGACAUCCUUUGUGGUGUAGUAUUAUAAUAGCAAAUAUAUUAGGUUAUAUUUAGAGGAGACUGAAAGAGACUAAUUAAUAUAUUUACUAUGAGCAGUUUAAUGUUGUAUGAGUUCUAAUUGGGUUGAUAGAUAAUGUAACUAUGAGCUUGUAAUGAUGAUUUAUUUAUUAAUGAUAGUAGAAGAUGGCAUAACCGUGGAUGUAACCCUAUAUUUAGCGGGUGAACCACGUAAAUAUUGGUG